rnacentral:rRNA from 1 species
GACGGAGGAUGCAAGUGUUAUCCGGAAUCACUGGGCGUAAAGCGUCUGUAGGUGGUUCGAAAAGUCCACUGUUAAAGAUUGAGGCUUAACUUCAAAAAUGCCGUGGAAACUUUCAAACUAGAGUAUGGUAGGGGUAGAGGGAAUUUCCAGUGGAGCGGUGAAAUGCGUAGAUAUUGGAAAGACCACCGAUGGCGAAGGCACUCUACUGGGCCAUUACUGACACUGAGAGACGAAAGCUAGGGGAGCAAACAGG